rnacentral:rRNA from 1 species
UAGGGUGAACCCAUGGAGCCCGAACUC